GGCAUCAUCGUAUACGACUCCUAUAGGGCUGAUUGGGCAUCACUCCCCAUGCUCCCCGGCGUCGAUGGCGGCGGGAUUAUAGUUUGAUCCUGGUGUCAAGACGAACGCUGGCGGCGUGCCUAGUACAUGCAAGUCGAGCGGAUCGUUCCUUCGGGAAUGGUUAGCGGCGGACGGGUGAGUAACACGUAGGCAACCUGCCUGUAGGAUCGGGAUAACUACCGGAAACGGUAGCUAAGACCGGAUAGGUGGUUCUGACGCAUGUCGGAAUCAACAAACACGGCUUUGAAUUUAUGCAGGGCUGUGACCUACAGAUGGGCCUGCGGCGCAUUACCUAGUUGGAGAGGUGACGGCUCCCCCAAGCAACCAUGCCUAACCGACCUGAGAGGGUGAUCGGCCACACUGUGACUGACACGCGGCCCAGACUCCUACGGCACUCCACAGUAAUGUAUCUUCCACAAUGCAGCCCGUUCGGACGCAGCAACGCCUCGUGACUCGGUAAGGCUCUCGGAUGCGGUGCCGCGUUGGACGCAGACCAUCCGUCGCGCUCCUGAGGGCCCCACGGUGACGCGGGCUAGGAAGCACACCCCGUCGGGCGUCGGUGCACCGGCCGGCGGCAGAGCCCGUCCGGCGGCUGCGCGCCGCGUUGUGCAAGCGGGGGGGGGCGGCCGGGGCCCGGCGGGGGCGGCGCGUGACGUCUCGGAGGGGGCCGGGCGGGCCGGGCCCGGGCUGGCGGCGGCCGGCCACGCGCCGGGGCCGGGGGGGCCGCGUGGUGGGGCGGGCCGGGCGGGGCGGCGGCGGGGCGUGCGAGGGGGAGGGUCGCCGGGCCGCGGCGCGCGGGGGGUGGCGGCGGCGUCGGGUCGUGUGUCGGCAGCCCGACCGGCUCGUCCCGUACGCCGCGCUCCUUACACGCACGCGGG
rnacentral:rRNA from 1 species